CAGCCGCCACGGUAAUACGAAGGGGGCUAGCGUUGUUCGGAAUUACUGGGCGUAAAGCGUACGUAGGCGGAUUGUUAAGUGAGGGGUGAAAUCCCGAGGCUCAACCUCGGAACUGCCUUUCAUACUGGCAAUCUUGAGACCGGGAGAGGUGAGUGGAACUCCUAGUGUAGAGGUGAAAUUCGUAGAUAUUAGGAAGAACACCAGUGGCGAAGGCGGCUCACUGGCCCGGACCUGACGCUGAGGUACGAAAGCGUGGGGAGCAAACAGGAUUAGAUACCCGUGUAGUCCUGUCUCUUAUACA
rnacentral:rRNA from 1 species